rnacentral:rRNA from 1 species
AUGACAGCCGGGCCCAAGAUGCGCGCCGCGGUGCUGGCGCUGGCGCUGGCGCUGCUCGCCGUGGCGGUGCGCGCCGAGGACCCCUACCUCUUCUUCGACUGGAAGGUGGCGUACGGGACCAAGUCCCCCAUGGGCACGCCCCAGAAGAUGAUCCUCAUCAACGGCGAGUUCCCCGGCCCCACCAUCAACUGCACCUCCAACAAUAACAUCAUCGUCAACGUCUUCAACCAGCUCGACCAGCCGCUCCUCUUCACCUGGCACGGGAUCCAGCAGAGGAAGAGCUCGUGGCAGGACGGCAUGCCGGGCGACAUGUGCCCCAUCCUGCCGGGCACCAACUUCACCUACAAGAUGCAGUUCAAGGACCAGAUCGGCACCUUCUUCUACUACCCCAGCAUCGGCAUGCAGCGCGCCGCCGGGGCCUACGGGCUCAUCAGCAUCCACAGCCGCCCGCUCAUCCCGGUGCCCUUCGACCCGCCGGCCGACGACUUCGGCGCCCUCGUCGGCGACUGGUACACCAAGGACCACACCGUGCUGGCCAAGAACCUCGACACCGGCAAGGGCAUCGGCCGCCCCGCGGGGCUGCUCAUCAACGGCAAGAACGAGAAGGACGCCUCCAACCCGCCCAUGUACAACGUGGAGGCCGGCAAGACGUACCGCUUCCGCGUCUGCAACGUCGGCAUCAAGACCACCCUCAACGUGCGCAUCCAGGGCCACGUCCUCAAGCUGGUGGAGAUGGAGGGCUCCCACACCGUGCAGAACGAGUACGACUCCAUGGACGUCCACAUCGGCCAGUGCCUCUCCUUCCUCACCACCGCCAACCAGAAGCCCGGGGACUACUUCUUCAUCGCCUCCACCCGCUUCAUCAAGGGGGUCAGCACCAUCACCGCCGUGAUUCGCUACAAGGGGUCCAACACCCCGCCGGCGGCCAAGCUGCCGGACGCGCCGGACGGAUGGGCCUGGUCCAUCAACCAGUGGAGGUCCUUCCGCUGGAACCUGACGGCCAGCGCCGCCAGGCCCAACCCGCAGGGGUCCUACCACUACGGCCAGAUCAACAUCACCCGCACCAUCAAGCUCUCCCCCAGCCGCGGCAAGGUCGACGGCAAGGAGAGGUACGCCCUCAACGGCGUGUCCCACACCGACCCCGAGACGCCGCUCAAGCUCGCCGAGUACUUCAACGCCACCAAGGGAGUGUUCGAGUACAACCUCGUCACCGACACGCCGCCCAAGGAGGGCACGCCCAUCAAGGUCGCCCCCAGCGUCAUCACCACCGAGCACCGCACCUACAUUGAGAUUGUCUUCGAGAACCCCGAGAAGAGCAUCGACACCUUCCACCUCGACGGCUACGCCUUCUUCGCCGCCGGCAUGGGACCGGGGCUAUGGUCGGUGGAGAGCAGGAAGACAUACAACCUCCUGGACACGGUGAGCCGGCACACCAUCCAGGUGUACCCGAGGUCGUGGACGGCGGUGAUGCUGACGUUCGACAACGCCGGGAUGUGGAACUUGAGGUCCAAUCUGUGGGAGAGGUACUACCUGGGCGAGCAGCUAUACGUGAGCUGCACCUCGCCGGCCAGGUCGCUCAGGGACGAGUACAACAUGCCCGACAACGCCCUCCGCUGCGGCAAGGUCGUCGGCAUGCCGCUGCCGCCGCCCUACACCAUCGCAUAA